rnacentral:rRNA from 1 species
CGUGGAAACGUGCCUUUCACUACGGAAUAGCUCUUGGAAACGAGUGGUAAUACCGUAUACGCCCUCCGGGGGAAAGAUUUAUCGGUGAAAGAUCGGUCCGCGUUAGAUUAGCUAGUUGGUGGGGUAAUGGCCCACCAAGGCGACGAUCUAUAGCUGGUCUGAGAGGAUGAUCAGCCACACUGGGACUGAGACACGGCCCAGACUCCUACGGGAGGCAGCAGUGGGGAAUAUUGGACAAUGGGCGCAAGCCUGAUCCAGCCAUGCCGCGUGAAUGAUGAAGGCCUUAGGGUUGUAAAAUUCUUUCGCUAGGGAUGAUAAUGACAGUACCUAGUAAAGAAGCCCCGGCUAACUUCGUGCCAGCAGCCGCGGUAAUACGAAGGGGGCUAGCGUUGUUCGGAAUUACUGGGCGUAAAGCGCACGUAGGCGGGUUAUUAAGUCAGAUGUGAAAUCCCGGGGCUCAACCCUGGAACUGCAUUUGAAACUGGUAGCCUAGAGUUCAGGAGAGGUU